GUAGGGAAUAAAUAAGACAUGUAUAGGUAUGGGUGUCAUGUAGGAGUUAUUUAUGCUUUGACUUAUUCUCAGGUAUUUGCUGUGUCCUCCUCCCUUUUGUAGUGAGAGAGGAGAAUAAUGGUUAAUGUCUCUUUGCUGUUCAGUGUCUGAUAUAUGUGAUUUCUUAUGUUUAGCAUUUUUGGCUUGUAGAUUUUACUCGUAUUCAGAUCAAUAAACGGCAAAGAGACAUUAACCAU
rnacentral:misc_RNA from 1 species